rnacentral:rRNA from 1 species
GAUGAACGCUGGCGGCGUGCCUAACACAUGCAAGUCGAACGAAGCACUGAAAACGGAGAUUCGUCGAAGUUUUCUUUGACUUAGUGGCGGACGGGUGAGUAAUGCGUGAGCAACCUGCCUUUCAGAGGGGGACAACAGUUGGAAACGACUGCUAAUACCGCAUAACAUAUUCGGAUCGCAUGGUCUGAAUAUCAAAGAUUUAUUGCUUUGAGAUGAGCUCGCGUCCAAUUAGCUGGUUGGUGAGGUAACGGCCCACCAAGGCGACGAUUGGUAGCCGGACUGAGAGGUUGAACGGCCACAUUGGGACUGAGACACGGCCCAGACUCCUACGGGAGGCAGCAGUGGGGAAUAUUGCACAAUGGAGGAAACUCUGAUGCAGCGACGCCGCGUGAGCGAUGAAGUAUUUCGGUAUGUAAAGCUCUAUCAGCAGGGAAGAUAAUGACGGUACCUGACUAAGAAGACUCCGGCUAAAUACGUGCCA